AUAUUUAAGCAUUUGAGUUUUCUAACCUGAAUCAAUGAUGUUUACUAUGACUUCUUUUAGAAACCCUAAAGAUGGAUGACACGUUUAUGGCUUUCUCAUAGGAAAACUAAUGCAAGGUUUCCAAAUCUAUACAUUUGUGUCUGCAUGUAUACCUGUACGGAGAGCUUGGGAGACAUUUCCAUAGGCUCACUGUCAAGUGAGUGCUAAGGCCCCCAUUCACUGGGAAGCAAAGACUUCGACGUGUUUGUUUACGGUGUGUUGAUUAAUACAUUGGCCGAGUGCAAAUCCUUUCUACCGGUAUGAUUUGAAAUAAGACAAAGAACUCAAGUUUUCCUUUGCUUCAUAUAUAUUGAAGAAAAGUUACCACAUGGAUAUAAAUUUAAAGUUGCACACCAAAUGCAUCAUAGAAGAACAGGAAAAAAGGAAAAAGAAAAGAAAAGGUAGCCUGACAACCCAGAUAAUUACUGAAAUGACCAUGGAAAAGUGAAAAGAACUCUUUUCAAAGUGUAAAUUUUACAAAGUAACGUGGCAGCACACUCUCAGAGCAUCACCAUGUGAGAGACAGACAUCGUGGGCUCAUGAGCUUGGAAUAGUGUUGCUUAUAGGAAGAACUCCUGCUGCUCUUAUCUUCAAUACACAAAUAGAAUUGUUAACCUAUGAUGCCGCAACCACUGUUUGAUAUUUUGUAAACAGAUGUUCUAAUGAUGAAUUGCUUCUCAAGCAUAGUCAGAGCUUUGGUCAGCUUCUAAAGGUUGGUAUUUCUCUAAGGUGUGGUCCAUAAAGACCAGUUGGGCUAUUUGGUCUGCCUUUAUUCACCCAGAAUAAGUAGUUAUCAGAGCAUAAUGCACCCUGUAUUUUAUUCAUCUCCCAAACAAAGCAUUUAUAUAAAAUACAUCAUUUUCAGGAAAGGAAGUUAUGGGUUUAUAGUGUUUAACUACAAAAAAAGUCCAUCUAGCUAUUAGUAUACAUAUCGAAUCUAUAUAUACUCAUAUUCAUACAUACAUAGAUUUACAUAUAUUCCCAAGUAUCCAUGUAUAAAUGUAUAUAACUAUAUUUUAACUCUAUAUCUAUAGGAUAUAUCUAUACAUAAGAUAUAUAUAUAUAUGUAUAUGUAUAUGUAUAUGUAUAUGUAUAUGUAUAUAAGGUAUAUAUACAUGCAUAUCUUCAUUUCUUGCAAGUAUUUUACCAAGGAACAGAGUAGGAUUCAUUUUCCACACAUAAGCAGUGUAUCUUAAAUUGGUUUCUUUUCUUCAAUGUUCCGAUUCUGAAAAGCAACUGAGUAUUUUUUCUUUUGUCUGUGUAAUGCAAAAUAACAGCUUUGCUUGUAUUUUUUCAAUUACAUGAAAACCAAUGUCUCUCGUAGAUCUAUGAUGAAAGGUUUUGCCAGGCUAGUAAAUGUAAAUAAAACUGUAAAAUAAAUAUAUUUAAGAAAAGAAACUGCUCUCAAACACUCCUAAAUACUUUGGCAGCAUUUACAUAAACAAACAAUUGAUAUGAAAAUUGCAAAUAAUUUUUUAUCCAUUUUUAAAAUUAGUUUCUAAAGAUGUCUUCUAGCCUAAACCUAGAUCAAAUUACUGUGGUUAAAUAAAAUAAAACCACACUCAAAAAAGUCUCAGUUUUAGUUUUUUAAUAAUCUGUACUCCAUUUUCUUGAUAUUAUUACAGAUUGCUGACAUAGUGUUCCAGUGCAAUAUGAGUUAUGAAGUUUUCUGGCUUUGCAUACAGUAAAUAAAUAUUAGUUGCACUAGAGAAUCAAGGAACAUGAUCAGAAAAUUUAAGUUUUGCGGCAUUUUUAAGAAAACUAUCUGGAUUGUUGGCAAUAUUCUGACUCUUCAGGGGGAAGCAAUACAUUACAAGGUAAAAAGCCCAAUUAGGUUGAGCAUUUUCUGAAUGAUUCUAGAUACUGAUAGAGGAUAUUGCUGUAUAAUUGCUUGGCUUUGGAAAAUUUAGAUUGUGCCAUCAGCAAAAACUGCCUCAUACAUGGCUCUUCUGUGUCCACCUACAAAUAAUUCUGAACAUACAUAAAACUCUGUAAAUAUCAGUGCUGAUUCCUUGGAAAAUUAGACUGUUUUUAGAGCUUGUUUCUCAAUUUAAAAAAUAUUUUGGUAAUUGGUGAAGUAUUACAAUUCUCAGAAGCUUUAGUUUUCUUAUUUGCCUUUUGUUUAAUACCAGACUUUAAAAUGAUAUUGUUUGUUAAUAUUCAAUAUACUAAGGAAUAAAAAUCAGCAACUCCU